rnacentral:rRNA from 1 species
CCUACGGGCGGCAGCAGUGGGGAAUAUUGGACAAUGGGGGGAACCCUGAUCCAGCGACGCCGCGUGAGUGAAGAAGUAUUUCGGUAUGUACAGCUCUAUCAGCAGGGAAGAAAGAAAUGACGGUACCUGACUGAGAAGCCCCGGCUAACUACGUGCCAGCAGCCGCGGUAAUACGUAGGGGGCAGGCGUUAUCCGGAUUUACUGGGUGUAAAGGGAGCGUAGACGGCGAUGCAAGUCUGAAGUGAAAGGCGGGGGCCCAACCCCCGGACUGCUUUGGAAACUGUAUGGCUGGAGUGCAGGAGAGGUAAGUGGAAUUCCUAGUGUAGCGGUGAAAUGCGUAGAUAUUAGGAGGAACACCAGUGGCGAAGGCGGCUUACUGGACUGUAACUGACGUUGAGGCUCGAAAGCGUGGGGAGCAAACAGGAUUAGAUACCCUUGUAGUC